rnacentral:rRNA from 1 species
GACGUAGGAGGCGAGCGUUGUCCGGAUUCAUUGGGCGUAAAGAGCACGCAGGCGGUUUGGCAAGUCGGACGUGAAAAUCCGGGGCUCAACCCCGGACCUGCAUCCGAAACUGCUCGACUAGAGGUAGGUAGGGGAGAUCGGAAUUCCUGGUGUAGCGGUGAAAUGCGCAGAUAUCAGGAGGAACACCGGUGGCGAAGGCGGAUCUCUGGGCCUUACCUGACGCUCAGGUGCGAAAGCUAGGGGAGCGAACAGG